GUAUCGAUCUGCCCCAGUAAAUGCACUCUACAGAAUUUGAUAUAAUUCCUGAGAAGGUAUAAUGUUACUUGUUAUUGAUGUUAGCCUUUACAUAAUACCUACGUUGCUGCAACGUUAAACUGACAUUGCCUGACAACCUUCUUCCAAGAAGUGGAUUUAGUGCUAUUCGACUUGCGUGAUAAGGUCCAAUUUACCAUUAAGUAUCAUCUUCCGUAAAAUCGCCCCUGACAUUACUCUUAUAGACUCUGAUGUCAGUAAUAAGAAGUUAUAAUAAAAUCUGAUUCAAAUUUCCCGCGAUAGUAGUUCGAUGUUUGGCCACAACGAGUAGUUGGCGCACCGUGUUUAUGGUUUAUGGCGGGAAAUUAAAAACCGCCUGGCGGGAAUUACAACUAGUAUCUGUAACUGGCGCACCGUGUUUAUAGCGGGAAUUUUGUUGUUGUUUACAGGCCUAGGCCUAUUGCAGACUAGCCUAUAAUGCUUAACCUAACCCGUCACACUGCAUAUCAUUGAGAGAACAGGAGGCUUCAGACCACGAGACAGGUGUUGGCAAAAGAGAAAUUAGACCACCUUCUAGACUUACUGAGGUCAUUGACGAAGAAAUGGUCAACAAGAGGAGACAAACAAGCAUUGCAAAGAGAAAGCAUCCCAUCCUCACUUCAGAUGAUGACUUCGGAAGAUGACAGAUCACAUCCAAAACUUCACUUGCCCCAUUAUUCAGAGGAAAUUGGUCUACUUGGUGGUCCUACUGCAUCACCAAGCACUCAGUCCUCACAAAGAUUUGGUCUCUGUUGGUCCUACUACAAGUACUACACCUUCAAAAGAGAUUGCAGAAGGUGUUGUCAUGGGCUAGAAUUAGUGCCGCUUGUUGAGAGUGAACAAUGAUUAGAGAUAUAUAUACCCAUAGAUUGAAUAUUAUUGUGCAAAAAAAAAAAAAAGGUAAAGGUAAAUGCCAAGAUAUUAAGUAAUAUUACAAAUUCACCUUUAAGAGGAUCUACCCUGUCAGUUGGGUCUUCAGUCACUGACAGCAUGUCACAACAGCACACAGGCCCACAGGCACCAACAGGAUGUCUUCAAGAAGAAUUGACUUCGUGAGGUCUUGAAAGUAAAAUUGACUAGGUAAAAUCUGAGAUUGAAGAGGUUAAGAGGGCGUCAUCCCAGUUUAAAGAUGAAAUCUUGGCAGUAGUUGGAGAUGAUGACCCUAGAGAAAAUCUAAACCAGCUUUUCCCCACCAUUCUGACUUCUGAAGAGGAAGUGGAACAGUUUGAAAAAAACACUCAGAAAAGCCUUACAGAAAGUCAGUGGUUACUGAGCUGGCUUCAGUGUAUGCAAAUAAAGAUGAGAAAACAGUGAUCCUCUGGUGGGUCAUGAGACACCUCACGACAAAAGAAAUUGAUGGGGGAGUAUUCGUUGAAGGGAUCAAGAAGAAAGAAAAAAAGAAGUGUCUUUGAUACUAGACUACACGGAUUAAUUCGUGGUGUUGCCAUAAGAUUUCUGCCCAAACAAGAUAAGGAAGCAGACAUCGUGAUAGAAGACACCAUUGCGGCCGUCCUCAAAUUUGCGCCACAUGGGGAAGGAGAGGAGAAGUUUAAGCCAAGAUCAAAACCAAAGGAGAUCGAGGCCUCUCCAUCCGCUUCUUUCCUGACACCUAAAAUGCUGCAUAACCCUAUAAACUUUUUUACAUGCUUGCUAGUGACUUGUGCUCCCUCUUCAUGAAUUCUUGUGUAAAUUGAUAAGUAUCUGAACUACUGUACACUGGAUUUUAUAAGUUAAGUCAUUUUCUUUAAUUGGUUACAGUACAGUAUAGUAUCCCCAUAUUUGUCCAACGCCUAUGGAAUAGUUAACUGAGAU